GACGAACCGAGCGAACGUUAUUCGGAAUCACUGGGCUUAAAGGGCGCGUAGGCGGGCCGUCAAGUCGAGGGUGAAAUCCCCCAGCUCAACUGGGGAAGUGCCUCCGAUACUGGCGGCCUCGAGGGGGAUAGGGGCAUGCGGAACUUCCGGUGGAGCGGUGAAAUGCGUAGAUAUCGGAAGGAACACCGGUGGCGAAAGCGGCGUGCUGGAUCCCUUCUGACGCUGAGGCGCGAAAGCGUGGGGAGCAAACAGGG
rnacentral:rRNA from 1 species